GCUGUGAUGGUGUAAGGGUAACAUCUAAGCUUCCCAUGUCUUCUCGUUGAGCAUGCUUAGGCACCGAGUUCGAGUCUCGGUCACAGCA